CCUCAGGCAGAGGCACCGCGAGAGGAGACAGCAUUGGCAGGACCUGCCCUCUCUAAGAGCAAAUAGGGACAAAGCCAUCUUCCACGUGGAAAGAAGCCAAAUGGGAGAAUUUCCCCAACCAUUUCCCUUCAGUGCAGCUGGUACCAACUUGAAACCUAAGACACGUAACACUGCAGUCCAGCUGAAGCCUGGCUAAGCCAUAUUUCUUUAGACACGGCAGGAAGCCACUCCAUGCCUGGUGUCAAGAACCAUCUCAGGCCCAGGGGUGAUCUGCUUCCUUGGUUUGACCCCAAGGGGUCAGCUGGCUGGUGAAGCACAUCAACACUUAUUCUAUAGACUGGGACUGUCAGCAGCAGCUUACUGGAAGAGAGAAGAUGACCGGGAUUUGAGUAUUGUCUUCAGGGACUCUUCUGGAGAAGAAGGAUGGUACAGGGGUUUCUACAGAAUGGAAAGAGCUCCAUUUGUUGCUCUGAGAGAGGAGUGUCAAUAAAUGCCUUGUCCCAACCCA